GGAGAUAUAACUCAGCUGGUAGAGUGCUUGUCUUGCAUGCACAAGGCCCUGGGUUUGAUCCCCAGCACCACCC
rnacentral:tRNA from 1 species